UACGUAGGUGACAAGCGUUGUCCGGAUUUACUGGGCGUAAAGAGCGCGCAGGCGGUCGAUCAAGUCGAGUGUGAAAGCCCCCGGCUCAACUGGGGAGGGUCAUUCGAUACUGAUCGACUCGAAGGCAGGAGAGGGUAGUGGAAUUCCCGGUGUAGUGGUGAAAUGCGUAGAUAUCAGGAGGAACACCUGCGGUGUAGACGGCUUACUGGACCAUCACUGACGCUGAGGCACGAAAGCGUGGGUAGCAAACAGG
rnacentral:rRNA from 1 species